rnacentral:rRNA from 1 species
UGGGGAAUAUUGCACAAUGGGCGAAAGCCUGAUGCAGCGACGCCGCGUGAGGGAUGACUGCCUUCGGGUUGUAAACCUCUUUCGGCAGGGACGAAGCGAAAGUGACGGUACCUGCAGAAGAAGUCCCGGCUAACUACGUGCCAGCAGCCGCGGUAAGACGUAGGGGACGAGCGUUGUCCGGAUUCAUUGGGCGUAAAGAGCGCGUAGGCGGCUACGCAAGUCGGUUGUGAAAACCCGGGGCUCAACCCCGGGCCUGCAUCCGAUACUGCGUGGCUAGAGGUAGGUAGGGGAGAUCGGAAUUCCUGGUGUAGCGGUGAAAUGCGCAGAUAUCAGGAGGAACACCGGUGGCGAAGGCGGAUCUCUGGGCCUUACCUGACGCUGAGGCGCGAAAGCUAGGGGAGCGAACAGGAUUAGAUACCCUGGUAGUCCUAGCCGUAAACGUUGGGUGCUAGGUGUGGGCGGAUAUCGACCCCGUCCGUGCCGAAGCUAACGCAUUAAGCACCCCGCCUGGGGAGUACGGCCGCAAGGCUA